rnacentral:rRNA from 1 species
AUUGAACGCUGGCGGCAUGCCUAACACAUGCAAGUCGAACGGCAGCACGAUGUGUAGCAAUACACAUGGGUGGCGAGUGGCGGACGGGUGAGUAGAAAGUAGGGAUCUGCCUUAUAGAUUGGGAUAACUUGGGGAAACUCGAGCUAAUACCGGAUAAGCACUACGGUGGAAAGCAUGGGACCGAAAGGCCAUGCGCUAUAAGAUGAACCUACGUCGGAUUAGCUAGUUGGUUAGGUAAAGGCUGACCAAGGCGAAGAUCCGUAGCUGGUCUGAGAGGAUGAUCAGCCACAUUGGGACUGAGACACGGCCCAAACUCCUACGGGAGGCAGCAGUGGGGAAUAUUGGACAAUGGGCGAAAGCCUGAUCCAGCAAUGCCGCGUGUGUGAAGAAGGUCUUCGGAUUGUAAAGCACUUUCGACGGGGACGAUGAUGACGGUACCCGUAGAAGAA